rnacentral:rRNA from 1 species
UGUAAGCGUAUACCAAAGUUGUUGCAGUUAAAACGCUCGUAGUCGGAACUUGGCAGUUCCGGAAGUGUGCACGUCGUGUGCGCACUUUGCAGGGACUGCUUUUGUGGUCUUGCGUAGGAUGAGGCACUUUUAUUAGUGAACGUCCUCACGCAACCACUCUUUACUGUGAGAAAAUCAGAGUGCUCAAAGCAGGCAUUUGCCGUGAAUGUAUUAGCAUGGAAUAAUAGAAUAGGACUCGGUUCUAUUUUGUUGGUUUGUUGGGACUGAGUAAUGAUUAAGAGGGACGGUUGGGGGCUUUUGUAUUUCGGCGCUAGAGGUGAAAUUCUUAGAUUGCCGAAAGACAAACUGCUGCGAAAGCGUCUGCCAAGGAUGUUUUCAUUGA